AGUGAACGCUGGCGGCAGGCCUAACACAUGCAAGUCGAGCGGCAGCGGGAGGUAGCUUGCUACCUUGCCGGCGAGCGGCGGACGGGUGAGGAACACAUCGGAAUCUGCCCAGUUGUGGGGGAGAACGUAGGGAAACUUACGCUAAUACCGCAUACGACCUACGGGUGAAAGCAGGGGACCUUCGGGCCUUGCGCGAUGGGAUGAGCCGAUGUCGGAUUAGUUAGUUGGUGUGGUAAAGGCCCACCAAGGCGACGAUCCGUAGCUGGUCUGAGAGGAUGAUCAGCCACACUGGAACUGAGACACGGUCCAGACUCCUACGGGAGGCAGCAGUGGGGAAUAUUGGACAAUGGGCGCAAGCCUGAUCCAGCCACGCCGCGUGUGUGAAGAAGGCCUUCGGGUUGUAAAGCACUUUUGUACGGGAAGAAACCUUCCGGGUUAAUACCCUGGGAGACUGACGGUACCGUAAGAAUAAGCACCGGCUAACUUCGUGCCAGCCGCCGCCGUAA
rnacentral:rRNA from 1 species